CCUACGGGAGGCAGCAGUAGGGAAUCUUCCUCAAUGGGCGAAAGCCUGAUGGAGCAACGCCGCGUGGGUGAUGAAGGUCUUCGGAUCUUAAAACUCUGUUGUUAGCGAAGAACAUACGUGUAAGUAACUGUGCACGUCUUGACGGUAUCUAAUCAGAAAGCCACGGCUAACUACGUGCCAGCAGCCGCGGUAAUACGUAGGUGGCAAGCGUUAUCCGGUUUUUUUGGGCGUAAAGGGAGCGUAGGCGGUUUUUUAAGUCUGAGGUGAAAGCCCGCGGCUAAACCGGGGAGGUGCAUUGGAAACUGGAAGACGUGAGUGCAGAAGAGGAGAGUGGAA
rnacentral:rRNA from 1 species